rnacentral:rRNA from 1 species
AUACGUAGGGGGCAAGCGUUAUCCGGAUUUACUGGGUGUAAAGGGCGUGUAGGCGGAGAUGCAAGUCAGGAGUGAAAUCUAGGGGCUCAACCCCUAAACUGCUUUUGAAACUGUAUCCCUUGAGUAUCGGAGAGGCAGGCGGAAUUCCUAGUGUAGCGGUGAAAUGCGUAGAUAUUAGGAGGAACACCAGUGGCGAAGGCGGCCUGCUGGACGACAACUGACGCUGAGGCGCGAAAGCGUGGGGAGCAAACAGGAUUAGAUACCCUGGUAGUCCACGCUGUAAACGAUGAAUACUAGGUGUGGGGGGACUGACCCCCUCCGUGCCGCAGUUAACACAAUAAGUAUUCCACCUGGGGAGUACGAUCGCAAGAUUGAAACUCAAAUGAAUUGGCGGGG